rnacentral:rRNA from 1 species
GUCAUGGUGCCAGCAGCCGCGGUAAUUCCAGCUCCAAUAGCGUAUAUUAAAGUUGUUGCAGUUAAAAAGCUCGUAGUUGAACUUCUGCUCAGGUUCAUUUCGACUCGUCGAGUGAAACUGGGCAUACGUCUGCAAACUAAAAUCGGCCUUCACUGGUUCGACUUAGGGAGUANUCUGGUGCCAGCAGCCGCGGUAAUUCCAGCUCCAAUAGCGUAUAUUAAAGUUGUUGCAGUUAAAAAGCUCGUAGUUGAACUUCUGCUCAGGUUCAUUUCGACUCGUCGAGUGAAACUGGGCAUACGUCUGCAAACUAAAAUCGGCCUUCACUGGUUCGACUUAGGGAGUAGACAUUUUACUGUGAAAAAAUUAGAGUGUUUCAGGCAGGUUUUAGCCCGGAUACAUUAGCAUGGAAUAAUGGAAUAGGACUAAGUCCAUUUUAUUGGUUCUUGGAUUUGGUAAUGAUUAAUAGGGACAGUUGGGGGCAUUAGUAUUUAAUAGUCAGAGGUGAAAUUCUUGGAUUUAUUAAGGACUAACUAAUGCGAAAGCAUUUGCCAAAGAUGUUUUCAUUAAUCAAGAACGAAAGUUAGGGGAUCAAAGACGAUCAGAUACCGUCGUAGUCUUAACUAUAAACUAUACCGACUCGGGAUCGGCUGGAAUAUAUGUCCAGUCGGCACCGUAUGAGAAAUCAAAGUCUUUGGGUUCUGGGGGAAGUAUGGUACGCAAGUCUGAAACUUAAAGGAAUUGACGGAACAGCACACCAGAAGUGGAACCUGCGGCUUAAUUUGACUCAACACGGGGAAACUCACGAGCGCAAGACAGAGAAGGGAUUGACAGAUUGAGAGCUCUUUCUUGAUUCUUUGGGUGGUGGUGCAUGGCCGUUCUUAGUUGGUGGAGUGAUUUGUCUGGUUAAUUCCGUUAACGAACGAGACCUUAACCUGCUAACUAGUCUGCUUGUGAACAACAGGCUGUACUUCUUAGAGGGACUAUUGUGCAAGAAGCCAAUGGAAGUUUAAGGCAAUAACAGGUCUGUGAUGCCCCUAGACGUGCUCGGCCGCACGCGCGUUACAAUGACUGGCUCAGAAAGUUUUUCCUGUCCUGGGAAGGUACGGGUAAUCUUAUUAAUACCAGUCGUGUUAGGGAUAGUUCUUUGGAAUUUUGGAUCUUGAACGAGGAAUUUCUAGUAAGUGCAAGUCAUCAGCUUGCGUUGAUUAUGUCCCUGCCGUUUGUACACACCGCCCGUCGCUUGUAGUAACGAAUGGUCUGGUGAACCUUCUGGACUGAGACAGUAAUGUCACGGAAAAAUAAGUAAACCCUACCAUUUGGAACAACAAGAAGUCGUAACAAGGUAUCUGUAGGUGAACCUGCAGAUG